CAGGCUGCGGGGCUGAAGUCAUGUCGUGGAUUGCCCAGAAUAAUCGAUCCAUUAUGGCCAUCACAAUUAAUUGACUUUUCUGUGACUCGGGGUCAAAUCUGAUGCCAGAGCCUACCUUGAUCACUCCUGUGCAUCUUUUAAAGGCUACGUCUGACCAUGACUGCUUGCUAAUGACCAGCCUCACUUUGCUGAUUGGAGAUCAAGCACAAAAAAAAUAAAAAUAAAUAAAUACCCGCUGAUUUAACUAAA
rnacentral:lncRNA from 1 species